GACGAACGCUGGCGGCGUGCUUAACACAUGCAAGUCGAACGGAAAGGCCCUGCUUUUGUGGGGUGCUCGAGUGGCGAACGGGUGAGUAACACGUGAGUAACCUGCCCUUGACUUUGGGAUAACUUCAGGUAACUGGGGCUAAUACCGGAUAGGAGCUCCUGCAGCAUGGUGGGGGGUGGAAAGUUUCGGCGGUUGGGGAUGGACGCGCGGCUUAUCAGCUUGUUGGUGGGGUAGUGGCUUACCAAGGCUUUGACGGGUAGGUGGCCUGAGAGGGUGACCGGCCACAUUGGGACUGAGAUACGGCCCAGACUCCUACGGGAGGCAGCAGUGGGGAAUAUUGCACAAUGGGCGGAAGCCUGAUGCAGCAACGCCGCGGGCGGGAUGACGGCCUUCGGGUUGUAAACCGCUUUCGCCUGUGACGAAGCGUGAGUGACGGUAAUGGGUAAAGAAGCACCGGCUAACUACGUG
rnacentral:rRNA from 1 species